ACCUCGAUGGUGUAGUGAUAGCACGCGUCUCCGCUAGGGAUGAAACGCAGGUUCAACUCCCGUUUGAGGUC